AUUGAACGCUGGCGGCAGGCUUAACACAUGUAAGUCGAACGAGUGGCGGACGGGUGAGUAAUGCUUGGGACUCUAGCUUUUGGAGGGGGAUAACUACGGGAAACUGUAGCUAAUCCCGCGUACCAUAGGAUACGCACAAGUGGGUUUAGGUAGUUGGUGAGGUAAAGGCUCACCACGACGACGAGCUCUAGCUGGUCUGAGAGGAUGACCAGCCACACUGGGACUGAGACACGGCCCAGAGUCCUACGUGAGGCAGCAGGGGGGAAUAUUGCGCAAUGGGGGCAACCUGACGCAGCCAUGCCGCGUGAAUGAAGAAGGCCUUCGGAUUGUAAAGUUCUUUCGGUAGCGAGGCGUUAACUACAGAAGAAGCACCGGCUAACUCCGUGCCAGCAGCCGCGGUAAUAC
rnacentral:rRNA from 1 species